rnacentral:rRNA from 1 species
CAGCAGCCGCGGUAAUACGAAGGGUGCAAGCGUUAAUCGGAAUUACUGGGCGUAAAGGGUGCGUAGGCGGUUUGUUAAGUCUGUCGUGAAAUCCCCGGGCUCAACCUGGGAAUGGCGAUGGAUACUGGCAAGCUAGAGUGUGUCAGAGGAUGGUGGAAUUUCCGGUGUAGCGGUGAAAUGCGUAGAGAUCGGAAGGAACAUCAGUGGCGAAGGCGGCCAUCUGGGACAACACUGACGCUGAAGCACGAAAGCGUGAGGAGCAAACAGGAUUAGAUACCCUGGUAGUCCACGCCCUAAACGAUGCGAACUGGAUGUUGGUCUCAACUCGGAGAUCAGUGUCGAAGCUAACGCGUUAAGUUCGCCGCCUGGGGAGUACGGUCGCAAGACUGAAACUCAAAGGAAUUGACGGGGGCCCGCACAAGCGGUGGAGUAUGUGGUUUAAUUCGAUGCAACGCGAAGAACCUUACCUGGCCUUGACAUGUCUGGAAUCCUGCAGAGAUGCGGGAGUGCCUUCGGGAAUCAGAACACAGGUGCUGCAUGGCUGUCGUCAGCUCGUGUCGUGAGAUGUUGGGUUAAGUCCCGCAACGAGCGCAACCCUUGUCCUUAGUUGCCAGCACGUAAUGGUGGGAACUCUAAGGAGACUGCCGGUGACAAACCGGAGGAAGGUGGGGAUGACGUCAAGUCCUCAUGGCCCUUACGGCCAGGGCUACACACGUACUACAAUGGUCGGUACAGAGGGUUGCAAUACCGCGAGGUGGAGCCAAUCCCAGAAAGCCGAUCCCAGUCCGGAUCGGAGUCUGCAACUCGACUCCGUGAAGUCGGAAUCGCUAGUAAUCGCGGAUCAGCUAUGCCGCGGUGAUACGUUCCCGGGCCUUGCACUCACCGCCCGUCA